CAGUCGCCGCGGUAAUACGGAGGGGGCUAGCGUUGUUCGGAAUUACUGGGCGUAAAGCGCACGUAGGCGGCUGUGUAAGUCAGAGGUGAAAGCCCGGGGCUCAACCCCGGAAUAGCCUUUGAGACUGCAUAGCUUGAACACGGGAGAGGUGAGUGGAAUUCCGAGUGUAGAGGUGAAAUUCGUAGAUAUUCGGAAGAACACCAGUGGCGAAGGCGGCUCACUGGACCGUUGUUGACGCUGAGGUGCGAAAGCGUGGGGAGCAAACAGGAUUAGAUACCCCCGUAGUCCCUGUCUCUUAUAA
rnacentral:rRNA from 1 species